rnacentral:rRNA from 1 species
AAUGAACGUUGGCGGCGUGGAUUAGGCAUGCAAGUCGUGCGGAAAGGCUCCUUCGGGAGUACUCGAGCGGCGAAAGGGAGAGUAACGCGUGGAUAUCUACCCCCUGGACUGGGAUAGCGGCGGGAAACUGCCGGUAAUACCAGAUAAUGUCUGCGGACCAAAGGUGUGAUUCCGCCGGGGGAUGAGUCCGCGUCCUAUUAGCUAGUUGGUGGGGUAAUGGCUCACCAAGGCUGAGAUGGGUACCGGGUGUGAGAGCAUGGCCCGGCUCACUGGGACUGAGACACUGCCCAGACACCUACGGGUGGCUGCAGUCGAGAAUCUUCGGCAAUGGGCGCAAGCCUGACCGAGCGACGCCGCGUGCGGGAUGAAGGCCUUCGGGUUGUAAACCGCUGUCAGAGGGGAGGAAAUGCGUGAGGGUUCUCUCUCACGUUUGACCUAUCCUCAGAGGAAGUACGGGCUAAGUUCGUGCCAGCCGCCGCUGUAAAAC